GGGACUACAGGGGUAUCUAAUCCUGUUUGCUCCCCACGCUUUCGCGCCUCAGCGUCAGAGUGGCCCCAGCCGGCCGCCUUCGCCACCGGUAUUCCUCCUGAUAUCUACGAAUUUCACCUCUACACCAGGAAUUCUGCCGGCCCCUGACCCUCUCUAGAUUAGCAGUUUCGAAAGACCCUCCGGGGUUGAGCCCCGGGCUUUCACCUCCGACUUACUAUUCCGCCUGCGCGCCCUUUACGCCCAGUAAUUCCGAACAACGCUCGCACCCUAUGUAUUACCGCGGCUGCUGGCACAUAGUUAGCCGGUGCUUAUUCUUGGGGUACCGUCAUCAUCUUCCCCCAUAAAAGAGCUUUACGACCCAAGGGCCUUCUUCACUCACGCGACAUUGCUGCAUCAGAGU
rnacentral:misc_RNA from 1 species